UGUAGCUAAGUGGUAGAGCACUUGCUUAGCAUGCAUAAGGUCCUGGGUUCAAUCCCCAGCA
rnacentral:tRNA from 1 species